rnacentral:sRNA from 1 species
AGAAAGUCUUCUGUCAG